rnacentral:rRNA from 1 species
CCCUUAGAUGUCCUGGGCCGCACGCGCGCUACACUGACGAAUGCAACGAGCUUAUAACCUUGGCCGAAAGGUCUGGGUAAUCUCCAAAUUUCGUCGUGAUGGGGAUAGAUUAUUGCAAUUAUUAAUCUUCAACGAGGAAUGCCUAGUAAGCGCAAGUCAUCAGCUUGCGUUGAUUACGUCCCUGCCCUUUGUACACACCGCCCGUCGCUCCUACCGAUUGAAUGGUCCGGUGAAGCGUUCGGACCGUGGCCUUUGGACGGUUCGCCGUCUGUUGGCUGCGGGAAGUUCGUUAAACCUUAUCAUUUAGAGGAAGGAGAANUCGUAACA